AGCCGUGCGCCACGCCAUGUAUAAAUAGAGCGACGUAGGAGCAGCACAAUCGUAGGGAGAGAGAGAGAGAGAGAGAGGGAGAGAGACGGGGCAAUGGCUGGUAUGUGGCGAUGUAUGCCCCUUUUACUAUAUACAACUUGCUCCCACAAUUAUAUAGACGAUGAUACGACACUGCACAGACCAGACCAAUCAUUGUACGUUAGUUUCGUUCCAUCGGCCAAUGACUGUGCCUUUGUUCGUGAAUCCAAGCAAAUAACCAUCUUGGUAUAAUCGAUGGGCAAUCGCUGUCGCACCGACGAAUAAUACGUACGAAAUGCGACUUAUUUUCCUUCUUCCAACGUAGCCACGUACGAAAUGGUGCGCCGAGAUCGAAUCCAGCGCGCGAAGCCUUAGACGCGGAGAAGCGGCAACGUCUUUAUUAUCGUAUCGACCAAAAUCCUCCGUAAUUUUCGAAUAAAUUCUUCGUCGCUUCGUUUUUCUCCUAUUCGUCGACGUAUUUUUAGUUAUCGAGGCCUCGUUGCGAACGCAGCUCAAGUAUUUUUCCGACACAGACACAAAUUAAGCAAGUUUUUAUCGUCGGCCAAGCCCGGAUAUUUUACUGCAGUGCGGAAGUGACGGUUUUUACCCGCGUAUGUGUGCAUAGCGCCUGUUUGUGUGAAUACUUUGCCGAGGUUAUGUAGCGGCUGCUGCAACGGAAUAGAGAGCGAGAGAGGGAGAGAGAGUCGGAGGUCGCCCGGAAGAAAGGAAGGAUGAGGGGCAGAGGGCACGGGCGGGCGGUUGGAGAACCCAAGGGAGAGAAAGGGCAACGAAAAAGGGCGGAAAACCGAGUGCUCGAGUGGAUUGAAGCAACUUGAAAAAGAGAAGAAAACUCUGCGAUGCCCUGGGUGCGAGAAGGACCGAGAGAAAAAGAGCUCGCCACACGAGAGUCAGGACAGCGUUGCCACCAUCAUCAUCCCCCUGGAGUGCAUACUAUAGCACCCAUAAUAGCUAUACGCGGAACCAAGGCUAUUGAACCAACGUACGCAGUCAUUGGCCACCGAAUUACUUGCGAUUUUCCUAAACUCCCGAGUGAAAUUCCGGCUGUGCCAAUCACUGUGCCGUUACAUUAUCUCCUCUGUAUAAAUCGAUAAUUUUUCAGUUUGGUCAACUUUUGGAGAGUACCAAGGGCUUCUCAACUCUCCAACGUCCCCGAUGCAUGUUUUUUUGUCGAAUAAAUUAUUUCGCCCAAAAGGAUUUCGUAGUCGGAGAUGAAGCUAAACUUUCCGUGAGUCGAAUCCAAUUAAUCCUUUUCGACUUUCACGCUUGCUGGGAAUAAUCUCCGGGAAGAUCGUCCCAACAUUUUUCAUCACCAUUCGAAUGUUUCAUUUAUUUGAGACUCCUCGUCGCUAAAUUCCAUCGGAAUAUGCAAGAUCGAUUUUCAAGGUUCCAGUUCUCGUAGCACGCAGAACUCGAGCCGCCUCUCGCAGCCCGGUGAAGAUUCGAGGUUCGCGGUAGACGAGGCGAACACUCGUAUGUCGAUCAAUGACUACUACAGUCGCGGACUACUCGCUAAAUAGGCAGAGACACUAAUGCGACGCUGAUCCGGCUUCCCAUCCGCGAACACCGGUUACGUGGCCGACAAAAGGAGGAAAAAUCGUUAUGAAAUUUCAACUUAAAAAGCUCGUCCUUGCUGCUUUGCUCGGGAGUCAAUUCGUUCCGCUGAUUUUGUGGAGACUCUUUUUUCGAUAUUUUUUCGAUGCGAACUAAUAACCGGCUGUCAAUUAAUCUGGUCACGUUCGAGCUAUGAUACGAUCAUUAACACCGCCAAGCAACACAUUCGAAUCGGGCGCGCGCUUUCCACCAGUCUUCAAUAAUUCCGCUAGGUGACUUCGCAUCCCAACGAAUCGCGUAAGAAAAGUCGUCGAUCGCGGUGCAUAAAUGUGAGGCGAAGCUUCGAGCAUGCAAACGAAAAAUCGUUUCCCUGACGAACGAGGAACCCCCCCCGACGUCUCUAACAGUGCGAUCGUCCGACAACGCAAAGAACGGACAAUUCGAUUAUUGAAUAUCCUCGACUUGACCGUGGGGAGCGGUUAGACAACGAAGUUAUGAGAAAUCACAAAAAUAUUGAGAUUUUAUACUUUUAGUAGGCAAUUUCCAACAAACUCUCGGGCAAGACGCGUUGUAGGAAAAUUGUGGUGCAUACCUGGCGGUGCCUGUGCUGGCCAUUAAAGCCUUUGCCAACCUUUGGACAAUAUACAUACAUAUAUAUAAAUAUACGUGUGUAGAAAGAGAGAGAGAGAGAGAGCGAGAGAGGUUGAGGAUCGAUACGCGAAAGCAAGCUCGCGAGAGAGAGGACCAUCCGACACACAAAACUCGCACUUGCACAUAGAAAUCAAGAGAAAAGAGAGAGAGAGAGACGAAGAGAGGAACGUGGGCGUAUCGAAUCUCUCGCCCUCGCCUUUCUCUCUCCCUCUUUCUCUCUCAUCUAUCUACUGUAAGUAAAAUGGAGAUUCUCUCUCGAGUCUCAGCUGCCGAAAGGUCGGAAGGAGACAGGAGAGGAGUUUUGGCAGUCUGUAUACGUAUAUACACGUAUAAACACACAUAUACAUAUAUUUCCAGGGAUAGAUAAUAUAGAACGAGCGAGCCAAGGGAAAUACCAGGGAUGAGAGAAAGAGAGGAGAGAGGGAGAGAGAAUUAUUCGAUCGAUCGAAGCUCCGAGAGGACAGGGGAGAGAGAGAGACGACGACGACGACGAGAGGACACGGGGAGGUCGUGUGUGAACGUAGGACGAAAUAAACGAUGUGCCCUGGACAACACGGUGCACCGCACAACACAGAUACGAAAGCCCCCCGCCCCACCCGCCGAGGCUGUUUCACUUCGGCUACGAACACCUUACGGUUAUUUUUCUGAACAAAAGAAACACAACGGAAUUAAGGGAAACAAUGAAAGAUUAACUCGGGACUGGACUUUCCUUUAGUUCUCGUCGAAGAAAAAAAUCGGCUAGCACAGUAACAACGACUGGUCGAAACUCAUGACGGUUUCAAAGAGUUCAGCUUGGUGGGCCUGGAGAAUGCUAACGCAAGAGAUCCACGUGACUCGGGGAGUCCCGCGCAGCCGAUAAUGUCCCGGCGCGCGAAUUUCUCAAACCGCGUCGUCGCAUGCACAUCAUCCCGUGUGUGUCGGUGGGGACACGACGACGACAACGACGACGCUGUACGAUCAGGAGGCAUAUCAAAGCCGGGAGAAGAAUCUCGGCUUUGUCACCAUCGACCACACCUAAAAAUUUCGUCAGGCCACUCCUGCCGAACGCAAUAUUAUUAAAUUCAUAGUUUCAAAUGUGGAGCGAAGGAGAAGAAGAGGAAAGGGAGACGAACGAGGAGGCGGCGGCAGCGAAGCUCGAAGGUGCCGAGCAUCCUUUCCACCGCGUUCACGAUUCAUUCUCGCAUUCUCUCGACUCAUUGACUGGAGAAAGAGAAGCGAGGAAAGCGCCAUCUUCGCAAGCAACCGGAUUACGAGUCGACGCGCGAAUUCUUCCCUCUUCGAACUUGACGAAUUUUGUAUGACCUCUUGAACAAAGUAACCGGAUUAAAAUGUAAACGCGCCGGUUCCCUUCCACGAAUUGAGAGACCUCGAAAAAUUCUAUUGAAAAAUCGCCCAA